CACACACAGGUGUCCAGGAACCCUCAGAAGCCAGACUCUGCAAUGCCCAUUGUCCCUUGGAUCUCUUCCUCUACUCCUUUGUUAAAUCAUUCCACUAUUUUUCAAAAAUAUUUUUUUCAUUGUUUAGUUUUUGAGCCAGGGCCUCUCUGUGUAGCCCUGGCUGUUCUAGAACUCUCUCUGUAGACCAGGCUGACCUGGAAACCAGAUAUCUGCCUGCCUCUGCCUCUUGAGCACUGGGAUUAAUGGUGUGUGCCAGCAUGUUCAAUUAAAAAUUAGCUAGUGGCCAGGCAUGGCAGCCCAUGCCUUUAGUUCCAGCAAUUGGGAGGCAAAGAUGGGUGGUUCUUUGUGAGUUCGAGGCCAGCCUGGUCCACAUGGGAAGCUCCAGGACAGCCAGGGCGACAAAGUAAGACCUUGUCUCAACUGACAAAAAUUUAAAAAAUACAUAUUUUGUUGUUGCUGUUGCUGUUGCUGCUGCUGAGUUAGGGUCUUAGGGAGGCCAGCCAGGCUGUCCUUGAACUCUGCACCCCUCCACUCUCACGCAGGCAGGCACCCACAGGCAGGCUUCGCUCUUCGCUGAGCACGUGUGGGCGCCACUAGUGUCAACCAUCCCAGGUGUUACUCUCAAGGAAUUAUUUUGUAACUCCCGAAUCUUUAUCAUGUCACAAAAUUCCUUUCAGGAAAUAAGGAAACCUGAAUUCCAAGGAACAAUCGGAGCUACAAUAUUUACUCUUAACACAGAUGCAUCCCAUGCUGCCACAGCUGGAGGGGGCAAUCCCACGACUCAGGAGGGAUUGGAGGAUUCGGAAUUCAAGCUUAUGUUUUUAUUUCAUUGUGUUCAAAGUGAGUUUGGGCUACAAGACACCCUGUCUCAAAACUAUGCCAGAAAAUGCCUAACACAAAGCAGAGGAGUUUGAGUGGGUGUGAAAGCCAGGCGCUCUGAGGCCAAGCCACCUGCUGCCAGCAUAACCCCGAUUCUGGGCUGCACCUAGGACCCCAGCUCACGGACGCGCUCACAGAACAGAAGCCUUUCAGUCUGGGAGGGAUUCGGGCAGUCACUCUUAAGAUGUUUUCCAGCUCGACUGCCUGUCAGCCCAGGAUCUGGUCUUGGUCAAGCCGCAAGCACCCCUAAAUUCCGCCCAGCUGCGCUCCGGACUCACCCUGUGCCCCGCUCUGAAGAAUCGGCCAUUGUCCUGCAGGAGUAGCUUCAAGAAGUCGGGCACCCCUCUGAGUGUGCUAAAUACUAUUGGAGAGGGGCGUGGCUUCCUUGGCACCCGCCCUUCUCAGGUGUAGAACACUUGGCAAAGGGAAAGACAAUCCAGGGUUGGCCUGGAACUUAUAGUCUUCAGUCCCCCUGACUCAGUUUCCCAUGCCUGGGAUCACAGGCAUACAUUACUGUGCCCAUCUCCUUGUAGAGAGUCUUAUUGGGGUGCCAUGCCACCUGGCAGGAACGUGACAUCAACCAAGGUGAAGUUCCUCUCCCAGUCUUUAAGUGGGAACUCCUGUGUCAGCCAUAAUCCCCUCCACCUAGGGUGGAGCGCUCAGACCAAGGUGAAGCCCAUUGUUCUUCAAAGACCUGAAGUUUCCCAAGAAACACUAGCUACCUGCGGAGCAACUGAACUGAUUCUGCUGAGAAGCUUCCAGUCUUUCCCCCCUGCCUAUAUAUAUUGGGAGUUCAUUAAACUUUGAGACCUUGA